CCUACGGGAGGCCGCAGUGGGGAAUAUUGGGCAAUGGGCGCAAGCCUGACCCAGCAACGCCGCGUGAAGGAAGAAGGCUUUCGGGUUGUAAACUUCUUUUGACAGGGAAGAGCAGAAGACGGUACCUGUCGAAUAAGCCACGGCUAACUACGUGCCAGCAGCCGCGGUAAUACGUAGGUGGCAAGCGUUGUCCGGAUUUAUUGGGGGUAAAGGGCGUGUAGCCGGGCUGACAAGUCAGAUGUGAAAUCCGGGGGCUCAACCCCCGAACUGCAUUUGAAACUGUUGGUCUUGAGUAUCGGAGAGGCAGGCGGAAUUCCUAGUGUAGCGGUGAAAUGCGUAGAUAUUAGGAGGAACACCAGUGGCGAAGGCGGCCUGCUGGACGACAACUGACGGUGAGGCGCGAAAGCGUGGGGAGCAAACAGGAUUAGAUACCCCAGUAGUC
rnacentral:rRNA from 1 species